rnacentral:rRNA from 1 species
UACGUAGGGUGCUAGCGUUGUCCGGAAUUAUUGGGCGUAAAGGGCUCGUAGGCGGUCUGUCGCGUCGGGAGUGAAAACUCAGGGCUUAACCCUGAGCCUGCUUCCGAUACGGGCAGACUAGAGGUAUGCAGGGGAGAACGGAAUUCCUGGUGUAGCGGUGGAAUGCGCAGAUAUCAGGAGGAACACCGGUGGCGAAGGCGGCGACCUGGGUCGAGACUGACGCUGAGGCGCGAAAGCGUGGGGAGCAAACAGG